rnacentral:tmRNA from 1 species
GGGUCCGUCACGGUUUCGACAGGUUGGCGAACGCUGCUCUGUGAUUCAGGUCGAGAGUGAGUCUCCUCUCGCAAAUCAAAGGCUCAAAACAAAAGUAAAUGCGAAUAACAUCGUUAGCUUUGCUCGUAAGCCUGCUCUAGCAGUUGCCUAAAAACCUCUAAUUGGUUCGAGCGUCUUUAGCCUGACUCCGUUAAGGGCUAGAGACCAACCCCAACGGAUGCUCUAGCAAGUGUUCUCUGGUUGGCUUGCUAGCUAAGACUUAAUCAGAGCAUCCUACGUUCGGGAUAAUGAACGAUUCCCGCCUUGAGGGUCAGAUAGGCUAAACCUGUGAAUGAGCGGAGGGUUAAUACCCAAUUUGGACAGCAGUUCGACUCUGCUCGGAUCCACUA